UACGAAGGGGGCUAGCGUUGCUCGGAAUUACUGGGCGUAAAGGGAGCGUAGGCGGACAGUUUAGUCAGAGGUGAAAGCCCAGGGCUCAACCUUGGAAUUGCCUUUGAUACUGACUGUCUUGAGUAUGGGAGAGGUAUGUGGAACUCCGAGUGUAGAGGUGAAAUUCGUAGAUAUUCGGAAGAACACCAGUGGCGAAGGCGACAUACUGGCCCAUUACUGACGCUGAGGCUCGAAAGCGUGGGGAGCAAACAGG
rnacentral:rRNA from 1 species